AGCAGCUGUGGGUGAACUAUGGGUCAGUGAAGUGCUUCAGACAACCUGGUGUGAGAUACAACACAGAGGAUGAGCGUCGAAUUUUUAGAGUUUCCAGAAACAUGUUUAUAAAAAGAACUAAACGACUUGCCAACUUCGAAACAGGAAAGAAGAAAAAAAAAACCAGCGUGAAAAUAGAAAAAAGAUAUCUAGUUGAAGCUGGCUGCUACGAUUUAGUGAGAGAGACUGCUGGGAUGGAAUGCAACCUUCUGAAACGUUCCAUGCCAGAAACCUACCACCGCCUCUCUCCUACCUUCACCUUGAUAGACUUACACAGGGAUAUAUUUAACCCCGCGUGUUGCUUGGUGAAUGUGUUUUAUGCCAGAUCCUCAGGGCUCGCAAAAAGUUUUCUGCAAGGAACGGUACUAGGAGAAAGAAGGAGAGGCAGACGACGAUGGGAAAACAAUAGAAAGUAUUUAGGAAUUUUUAGAUCUGUCAAUGAGCUCAAGACUCUAAUCCUGGCAAAAUGACAGAGGAAUGGAGAGACACUGUUGUCAUAUCAUGUGUGGUGCCCCCAAACAAUCCAACAGAUUAUGGGACAGAUCAUUGUAAAGGAUUUAUAUAGUAGAUUCGAUCUCGACUUCUUUCUGUUAGAUAGUCAAGCUAGGCCACUGACACUCUGCAUUAAGAUUAAUAUUUUGCCAUCUUGAAAUUUUAUCCCUUCAUUCUUAAAUAUGUUUAAUGGCCUAUAGUAAAAAAUGAGACAUGCAUGAUAACAAACUGUGAAACUCAAGUGUUGACUAGUAAAAUGGUUUCAUUAUGAAAAGAUUAUAUUCUACUAUGGAACACGACCCCAAGACUAGUCUCACUCUGUUUAACAUGAGUUAGUGAAAGUCUCCAUCUUAUGUUUCACUAGAACAUCAAGGACACUGAUAAGGACUCUUGUACACAUUCGAAAAACACGAACAAUUAUUUGUAUGAUAUCUGGCUCGUAUCAAGACCUCUGUGUAAAGUCCCUCAAUGAACUUCUCAUUCGUAGAAUGUUGUUGUUUUAAUUGAAAAAAAAAAAGAGUCCUUGUAAUCACAACACAUUUCCAAAAAAAGGAUCAAUGUCUUAGUCUUACCAUACAUGAGUUCGAUAAUAAUUUAAACUUCAGUAUUGUCAAUAAACAUAAACGAUUUAGUUAAACUUAACUGGGCUUUUACAAAUAUAUAAUAAGACACUCUAACAACUGCAAGAUUAGAAUUAUAGGAACAAGAAGUCUCCACAAAGGUCAGAAGUACAAAGUUUCUUAGUAUUAAAUAUUUUUGUUUUAACUUAUGAAACAAAGAAUAUUUAUCUUUCUAUAUUGAGUUGUUGCUAUUGAAAAUAUUUUUUUUUCUAUCUUGAGAAAUCUCUUUUUGUUUUUUGCACAAACCCCGAACGUUAUUCUACAAUGAAUCUUUAUAAGAUAAUUGUGGAAACUCUUGUGUUCAUAGCUAUACAAAGUUGCCAGACAUUAAAAGUAAGAUUUAACAUCUUAUCCAACUAAUAUAUCCGUGUCAGGCUGAUUUAGGAGCUGGAUUCUUAUAAAACGCCAAGAGAACUUUGGAAAAAACCAAACAUGAAUUAAAACGACUUGAGCACAAUAGAAUUUGAAUGAUAACCCGGACAUUUGGUGAUGGUGAGAAACACUAGCCACCCCACCCACUUUUACAUUGUCUAUUUAAUAAUAUACGAAUAUAUUCCUGUUUUAUUUUUGUUUGUUUUUCCUUGAGUAUCGGAAGUUUGGAAAUAUUAUAUAACU